rnacentral:lncRNA from 1 species
GUACAGGUUUUUGCUCUUUCUCUUCCGGGAGGCUUCGUCAUCAUCCCCAACGGUGUCAGCCCCGCUCAUCUGCGGAGAGAAGACAGACACGAUGCAGUCUGGGCACCCAGGAACUCCUGCCUAAGUAAACAGAGGCUCAGAGACCCAACAUUCCCUGCCACCAGCCCCUUCCAUCCCCAAAGCCCCCACCCGCGGCACACAGGUGAGGGAGGGAAACCCCACUGCUGGGAACAGCCUGGCCAUGAAGUGGAAUCGGCCUGGCAGACUCUCCGGCCACAGGGAUCUCCUCCUGGGACAGUCAGGUCCCCAGCUCACUGGGGAGAAGCCAGACGGCUGGCACUCAGGACAGAGGCUUCAUUGCAGGCAGUGAGCAGGUGAGAGGGCAGGGCUUCUGCUGUGUCACUAGGCCAAUCCCUGCCCCUCUCUAAGCCUCUAUUCCUUAAUUUCUAAAAUCAGGAUCAUAAUGAUUAAGUCAGGAUUCUGAAGUUCAAAGGAGACCUGAGAUGGUCAGCAGUGUAUAAAAUAAAUCAUUACACAGGCCUGAGUGCACCUCUCUUGCCUUAUAGCUUUCCAUGGCUCCCUAGUGCCCUCGGGAUAACAUUCAAACUCCGUAACACGACUGGAUCUACCAUCUUAGGAUCAGGGCAGAAAGUUCCAUUCAGUUAUUCCUUCAGUUAUCUCUCCAGCCUGGCCCCUACUUCAGCAACCUCCUCAACUCUGCCUUCCAACCAACAGAAGGUCUUCAUCUCCAUGUGCAAUUCCUUCCUCGGGGGAUGCUUUUGUGAGUCUCCCACCUGCAUGGAUGGAUGGAUGGAUGGAUGGAUGGAUGGAUGGAUGGAUGGAUAUGUGGAUAGGUGGAUGGAUAGAUGAGUGGAUGGAUGGAUGGAUGGAUGAAUAUAUGGGUGGGUGGGUGGAUAGAUGGAUGGAUGGGUGGAUGGAUGGAUGAGUGGAUGGAUAUAUGAAUGCAUGGGUGAAUAGAUGGAUGGGUGGGUGGGUGGGUGGAUGGUAGAUGAAUGCAUGGGUGAAUAGAUGGAUGGGUGGGUGGGUGGGUGGAUGGAUGAAGGAGUGGAUGAGUGGAUGGAUGGAUGAAUUACACCUUCAUUUAGCUCAUACUAUAGGCCAGACCCUGGAUGGGGCAUAAUUCAGAUACUAUCUCAUUAAACCUCACAAUAAACCUAUAAAGUAAAUAGAGGCUCAGAGAAUUUAAGUCACUUCCCCAAGGAGACCCAGCAUGUAAGUGACAGAGCUGGAAUCUGCCUCAAUUCAAGGCCUGUGUUUCUCCACCAGAGGAUGCUGCUACUCAAAAAUGCAAGGUCAGAACACAUUUUAAUGUUUCCUGUGAAAGACUCGGGAAGUGCUGCCUCCUUCCUGAGAAUGCUGCCCCACCAGAGUUGUAAACAUACAUGUGUGUACGUGCACACAGAGGCACACACCGUAUGGUGUGUGAUUUCAGAGCAAGUGUUUGGAACCAGACCUGGAUAUAAAUCCUGCUUUCACCAACUUUGGGUAAGUUUCCUAGCCUCUCGGCUUCCAUUUUUUUAGCUAUGGCUUAGGCAUAGUGACAGCCACUUCACAGGGCUGAUGGAAGGUUCACCAGGAUAAACUCUGGACCCCAAGGCCCAGUCCUGGCACCCACGCUAACCUCAGUAACCAGUGGUCAUUGCCCAGUGAGUGUUACCACUGUCACCAUUCAGGGCACCCUUCAGUGCACAUACAGGCUGCACUCAUGCUGGCCUGGCAAGGCCAUGCCCAAGGCCCCCACCCGUGGGAAAGAGCCCUCGGGCCCUGGGCUUCCUCCCAUUCUAACCUCAGCUUCCGUACUUUAUCGGCUCCACACAAUGGGCCUGGGGACCACUCCCACCCAGCCGCCAUCCUCAGCCUCUGCGCUGCUGGGAAAUGGGCUCUUCCUUCCACUGUGGGGAGGAGAGUGUCUUCAGCAGGGACUGACCCAAGCCUAGCAGCCUGACAGAGGGGCUGGGCAGCUCUGGCCCUAGGAGUCAGCCCCCUGGGCUGCUGGGGAAACCCCAGCACCAAAAAGCUGCAUCAAUGCCUGCCCAGGGCCUAGUCUGCAAAGGCCCUCCAAAGGGAUUCUCCUUUCCAUCUUCUCCCCACUGUCUCACUAUGUGACCUUGUCCAGCUGAAAAGCAGAUGGAGGUGAGUCCAGGACCAUACAGCCCUUCCUUCACUCCAGGCAGAAUCCCUGGGCCCUGCCCAGCCUCAUCCAGCCACCUCCAGGGACUAGGAGCUCACCACCUCUUGGAACAAUAAUUAUAAUUCUUACUGUAAUUAUAACUGUAAUUAUAGUAAUGAUUAAGAGUGUAGAUUUUUAAUUGCCUGGAUUUGAAGCUUAGCUCAAUCAUUUAUUAGCUCAUUGACCUUAGCUCAGUUACAUCCCUCUCUGUGCCUCAGUUUCCUUAUUUGUAAAAUGCGGGUAAUAACCGGACUUCCCUCAAAGGGCUGUGGUGAGGAUUAUGUAAGUUAACACGGGGACGUGCUCAGCACAGCGCCCAACACACAGCAGUGAGCAAGUACUCUCAGCUAGCAUGGGUUUUGCCAUUAUUUAUUGAGCGUUCACUACAUGUCAGGUGCCGGGCCAAAGUGUUUUAACAUACUUUAUCUCAUUUAAUCUUGGCAACGAUUCUAAGAGCUAGUUACUGAUAUUUCCCCUCAGUGUGCAGCUGAGGAAACAGAUGCCCAGGGCAGUUUGAUAACUGGCCUGGGCUCUCUGAACUAACAAGUAGCAGAGAACUGUGGUCUGGGUCCAGAGCCCACUAGUGACUGAGCGCUCGUCUGUGAGCAGGGCUCAGCUGGUUUCCCUAUUGGUCCUGGUCGGACUUCUGGGGCUCCCUGGCCAUCCAUGGCUGCCCUCUCCGAUCCAGCCCAGGCUGGCAGGCCCCAUGGAACCACGUGGAAACAGUGGAUUUAAACUCUAUACUUACUUGUUUACACAUCCGAAAUAAUUCUUUAGGCUUUUUAAAAAUAGGAGGCUUGAAGGUAUUAUCGUCUUGGAGCUGGAAGGCAUUUUUGGGGUCCUCUCGUCUGAUCUCUGACCUACGUGGGAGCUUAGUGAAACAGGGCUGGCACCCUCUGUGGACCACCUCUGCCCAGGCCAGUCCCCUGCAGGGGAGGAAGGAAGCAGGGCCAGGGAAGGGCUGCAGCCUGUGGUCUCCUCACUGUCAAAGAAUAGCCCAUGACCCUCUGUGCUGAGCCAGAUAGGCUGGACUAGAAUUCAAUGGCAGCAUCCUGGACCCAAACACAAUUAUUCUCCGGGGCUUCCUUGACUCCCCAGGAAGAAGGCCUGUGAUCUGCUCUGCAGGGCCUCCAGGGAGCAGCCAGGAAGGCAGGGGUCUGGCGGCAGGGGGCACCAUGAGACCACUCAACUCAGCACAGGGCGCCACACCCAGGGGAUGGCCAGCUGGAGAACCAUGGCGGGGAGUGGGGGCAGGGGGCUCUCCCUCUCUGGACUCAGUCAGCCCAUCUGUGAGAUCACCAUGGUCGAGCAGACUAUCUCUGAGGUCUGCCUGUUCUGACAUUCCUACUCACAGUAGAAAUUGCUCAGCACAUAAGAGGGCAGGAUAACAGGGGUGUGGACCGGAGACAACGUCGAGACUGAAUGUCACCCUGUGGCAGGCAGCAUGUACUCUGGGCAGCCUCAGCUUAUCCGCACAGCAGCACAAAUGACCAGCCCAAGCUUUCUACGUACUGCGCCCUGGAACCCUUGGGACAACUCCCGGGGGACUCCGUGUUCCAUUAAUAAGAGAAAACCGAAGCUCAGAGAAAGAAGCAACUUGGCCAAGGUCUCAGAGCCAGGGAGGAGGAGGCAGAGCUGAGACUUGAACCUGGGUCUGUCUGACUCCACAGCCUGAACACUUCACCCCUCCCCUCUUCACCUCUUGCCUGGCAUUGCCUAGGAAUAGUGGCCCAUCAGCAUCAGGGGACCCUCCCAGAAGAGCCAGGCCAAAGCCAGGAAGAUAGAAGUCAUGGGGGAACCUGCCACUGUCCCUCUGCCAGUCCCCCACCCCCGGCCCCUCAUCAGCAUGAGGUCUCAGAGUCUAGGGCAGAGCCACAGAGGACUGACUAGACAAUGGUGAGGCCUUGUCCAGUGCCAUCAUCACUUGCUGCUGUGUGGCUGGGGACAAAAUAUCUCUCACUAGCCUCAGCCUCCCACUGUAAGCCAAGUGCCUGUCCACUUUGCAGCAGUGUCAGGAAGGUGAGAAAUGGGGUCUGGUGGUACUUCGAAUGGCGGCACAGCCAGUACUACCCUGGUUACUGCUCUUCUCCCCCUCCCCCUCCACAUAACAUGAUUACCAUUUAUGCAGCACCCACCAGGUGCUGAGCGCCAGGUACUGCCCUAAAUGUUUUACCUGUGUUAAGCUAUUUAAUUUUCCCAGCAACCCUAGGAAGGAGGCAUUAUUACCAUACCCAUUUCACCAAGGAGGAAACUGUGGCUCACAGAGGGGCAGGGACUUGCCCAAGGCCCAGUACCAGUAAGAGAUGGAGCUAGACCACGGUGUUUGUCCCAUCCGGGGCUUCAUCUCCUCUUGACAAGUUUCCUACUGAAGCUACUGGUGGAAGAGGGCAGGAUGUGAAUGGCAAAGGGCUCAGGAACUGGUGUGUGGAAGCCACAUGGAAGGGUGGCCACCACCAGGCUGGGGGCAGCCUCUGAUGUCUCUGCCAGCUCAGCCACUCAAACCCAAGAAAGGAAGUGACCGGCUAAAAGUUGGUGGGACAGGGGAGGGUGCCAGUGGGAACCUUGGGCACCCAAAGGAGGAAGCUGAGACAAGAGAGAGCUGGUCCAGGCCUGCUAGACUCCCAGGCAGGAGUAUGUGUCCCAAAAUAGGAGCCGAGGUCAACUGAGCUGGGGAAUUAGAUAAAUGCAUACAUAUGAAUGUGUGUGAAUUUAUCUGUAUAUAAAUAGUUUUAUUGGAGCAAGUGUGGUGAGGGGAAUAGAACUGGGAAGGGUGUAGUGGGGGAAUCAGGAUUGGGAAGCCCAAGGCAGGUGGGCCUCAACCGCCCUCCAAAGAGGAGUGGCCAGGCCUGAUCUGAAUGAGCCUGAGGCCUUGCCUUGGAAGGACAGCGUUCCGGACUCUCUCCUGUAGAAACCAUCAAGAAAUGGCCUAAGAUGGUGAUAUUCAAACUUUGGCAAGAUCAUGAUCCCUCGGGGCAUGUUUAAAAUAUAGGGUCUGGGCACCACCCCUAGAGAUUCUGAUUCCAGAGUUCUGGGUAUGGGGACUAGGAAUCACAUAUUAAUUACCUCCCCUUGGUGAUUCCGGAGCACACCACAGUGUGAGAACCACACACGCUUACAGAUGAGGAAACGGAGAUUUAGUUCCAAGGCCAAAGUUCAAGACCCUUUUCUGGAGGGCCCCAGCCUGCCCUGUCAGAAUGACUAGCUUUCAGCAGAAGGCAUCUCCCCAGAAGGUAAGUCUGCCUUCUUGCUAGUGGCUAAGAAGCUAAGCAGGCUUCUGAGGACAUGUCCCAACUUGGUGAGGAAGUAUGCUGGAAUCCAUUAAUGAUGUCUGCCAUGGGUUGGAGGGAGGAAUAGCAGCACCUGUGCCAGGCAUCUGCCCUUUAGGAAUGCUCUGCUCUAGCCAAAGAAUGCUUGCCUCUACCUCUCUGUUUAUUCUAAUCCUGUUCAUCCUUCAAGGCCAAGCUGAGAGGUAUCUUCCUCCAGAAGCUUUCCCUGAUGGCUUUAGGCCCUGGGGUCUGUCCUCCUGAAGUUCUAGAUCUCUGAGUCAGUUGUGCUCCAUGGGCACUGAGCACCCCUACUCACCUAGCCUCACACCAACACCUUGCACUGGCUGUUGCAUUUCAAGAGAAGGAGUGGGGCCCAGCAUUCCCUGAGGGCCGCCUCUCAAGCGGCUAGUGUUAUCAGGCACCAGCCUCUUCCAUUCAUCCUCAACCAUUCUGGGAUGUGAGUGCUAUUAACCCCUACUUUUCAGAGAAGAAAACUAUGGCUCAGAGGAGUUGAGUGACUCAACCAAAGCCACAUAGUAAGAAACAGAGCCCAGACCCAAACUAGCUGGUAGGCUUCAAGAUCAUGGCGCAAUCUGUUCACUGUUAGGCCACUUUCAAGGCUCACACAGUUAACUUAUUUCUCUCAGGUUGAGACCAGCCUCACACACUUCUGUGGCUCCUGCCAUGUUGCAGAGCGCAGGGCCUGGUACACAGCAGGAAAUCCAUAAAUACUUAUUCAUCUACAUAUAAAUAUUCACGAGAGGCAAACGGUGUGGUGGUUGGUUAAGAGCACUGGCCCUGGAACCAGAUUCUAAUUCUAGUUCAGACACUGAUACACUGUGUAACCUGGAGCAAGUUAGAUAACCUCUCUUUGCCUCGGUUUCCUCUGCUGUAAAAUGGGCACAAAAAUACUAUCUACUUCAAAGGGCUGUUGUGAGAGUUAAUGAGUUAAUGUAAACUGCUUAGGAUAAUGUGGACACGGAAUAAAUGUGUGUUGUCAUUGUGACUGGCUGAUGGAUUUCUAGUCUGGCUAGGCUGUAACUCUAUUUCUCCAGCUACUAUCUCAGAUCUUUUAAAUCCAAAUACACAAUGGCCUGGGCUAAGCUACACCUGCUCUGCUUUCUGUGGGGACCAGUGGAGCUAUAAGAACACAGCAUCUGGAAUCCUAAAGUCAUGUGUUUAAGUCCAUGCUCUGCCUUCUUGGUCCCAUUGGGCCUCAGUUUUAUCUUCUGUCCAACAGGUGGAAAGUUCGCUGGGAGGCUGCCAGGAUAGUGGGGGUGGAACAUGGUGACUUCUCAUUCCCUGCAGCCCCUGGGCCAGCCCUCCCCACAUUGCAUGUAUCCUUCUCCCUCCCCCUUUAGCUUUCUCACCUUCCUGUGUCCUGUGAAGAAGAGGGAAAGGUGGUGCAUGGAGCCACCAUUGCGGCCCAGCUCUUUCUUGAGGGUGCUGGGCGAAGGCAUG